CACGUAGGGGGCAAGCGUUGUCCGGAUUUAUUGGGCGUAAAGAGCUCGUAGGCGGUUCGAUAAGUCGGGUGUGAAACCUCCAGGCUCAACCUGGAGACGCCACCCGAUACUGUUGUGACUGGAGUCCGGUAGGGGAGCGUGGAAUUCCUGGUGUAGCGGUGAAAUGCGCAGAUAUCAGGAGGAACACCAGCGGCGAAGGCGGCGCUCUGGGCCGGUACUGACGCUGAGGAGCGAAAGCCAGGGGAGCAAACGGG
rnacentral:rRNA from 1 species